GGGGCUGUAGCUCAGUGGUAGAGCACUUGCCUUGCACAGGUGGGGCAAUGAGUUCAAUCCUCAGCACCA
rnacentral:tRNA from 1 species